GGACCAUCAUGUCGGUCGUGCCUCGGUACGUACUGGUAUUGUUGGUUUCUCCCUUCUGGAGAAGCUUGAUGUCCUUAAUUGGGUGUUGUGGGGAAUCAGGACUGUUACUUUGAAAAAAUUAGAGUGUUUAAAGCAGGCUCACGCUUGAAUACAUUAGCAUGGAAUAAUGAAAUAGGACGUUUGAUUCUAUUUUGUUGGUUUCUAGGAUCGACGUA
rnacentral:rRNA from 1 species